GAAAUGCGAUAAGUAAUGUGAAUUGCAGAAUUCAGUGAAUCAUCGAAUCUUUGAACGCACCUUGCGCCCUUUGGCCAUUCCGAAGGGCAUGCCUGUUUGAGUAUCAUGAACACCUCAACUCUUUAUGGUUUUCCAUGAUGAGCUUGGACUUUGGGGGGUUUUGCUGGCAUAUGGUCAGCUCCUCUAAAAUAAAUCAGCUUGCCGGUGUUUGGUGGGCAUCACAGGUGUGAUAACUAUCUACGCUUGUGGUUUUUCCACCAGGUAACCUUCAGCAAUGGAGGUUCACCGGAGCUCACAGAUGUCUCUCCUCAGUGAGGACAGCCCUUUGAAUGUUUGAUCUCAAAUCAGGUAGGACUACCCGCUGAACUUAA
rnacentral:misc_RNA from 1 species